AUUGAACGCUAGCGGCAUGCCUUACACAUGCAAGUCGAACGAGAGGCGGACGGGUGAGUAAUGUCGGGGAAACUGCCCGAUGGUGGGGGAUAACUACGGGAAACGGUAGCUAAUACCGCAUACCAUCGGAUGUGCCCAGAUGGGAUUAGCUGGUAGGUGGGGUAACGGGUCACCAAGGCGACGAUCCCUAGAUGGUCUGAGAGGAUGACCAGCCACACUGGAACUGAGACACGGUCCAGACUCCUACGUGAGGCAGCAGUGGGGAAUAUUGCACAAUGGGCGAAAGCCUGAUGCAGCAAUGCCGCGUGUAUGAAGAAGGUUUUCGGGUUGUAAAGUACUUUCAGCGGGGAGGCGUUAUCCAGAGAAGAAGCACCGGCUAACGCCGUGCCAGCAGCCGCGGUAAUAC
rnacentral:rRNA from 1 species